rnacentral:rRNA from 1 species
UGCAAGUCGAGCGGACAGAUGGGAGCUUGCUCCCUGAUGUUAGCGGCGGACGGGUGAGUAACACGUGGGUAACCUGCCUGUAAGACUGGGAUAACUCCGGGAAACCGGGGCUAAUACCGGAUGCUUGAUUGAACCGCAGGUUCAAUUAUAAAAGGUGGCUUUUAGCUACCACUUACAGAUGGACCCGCGGCGCAUUAGCUAGUUGGUGAGGUAACGGCUCACCAAGGCGACGAUGCGUAGCCAACCUGAGAGGGUGAUCGGCCACACUGGGACUGAGACACGGCCCAGACUCCUACGGGAGGCAGCAGUAGGGAAUCUUCCGCAAUGGACGAAAGUCUGACGGAGCAACGCCGCGUGAGUGAUGAAGGUUUUCGGAUCGUAAAACUCUGUUGUUAGGGAAGAACAAGUACCGUUCGAAUAGGGCGGUACCUUGACGGUACCUAACCAGAAAGCCACGGCUAACUACGUGCCAGCAGCCGCGGUAAUACGUAGGUGGCAAGCGUUGUCCGGAAUUAUUGGGCGUAAAGCGCGCGCAGGCGGUUUCUUAAGUCUGAUGUGAAAGCCCCCGGCUCAACCGGGGAGGGUCAUUGGAAACUGGGGAACUUGAGUGCAGAAGAGGAGAGUGGAAUUCCACGUGUAGCGGUGAAAUGCGUAGAGAUGUGGAGGAACACCAGUGGCGAAGGCGACUCUCUGGUCUGUAACUGACGCUGAGGCGCGAAAGCGUGGGGAGCGAACAGGAUUAGAUACCCUGGUAGUCCACGCCGUAAACGAUGAGUGCUAAGUGUUAGAGGGUUUCCGCCCUUUAGUGCUGCAGCAAACGCAUUAAGCACUCCGCCUGGGGAGUACGGUCGCAAGACUGAAACUCAAAGGAAUUGACGGGGGCCCGCACAAGCGGUGGAG